UACGGGGGGAGCAAGCGUUGUUCGGAUUUACUGGGCGUAAAGGGCGCGUAGGCGGCCACCGCAAGUCGGUUGUGAAAUCUCUGGGCUUAACCCAGAAAGGUCAACCGAUACUGCGGGGCUAGAGUGCAGAAGGGGCAACUGGAAUUCUCGGUGUAGCGGUGAAAUGCGUAGAUAUCGAGAGGAACACCUGCGGCGAAGGCGGGUUGCUGGGCUGACACUGACGCUGAAGUGCGAAAGCGUGGGGAGCAAACAGG
rnacentral:rRNA from 1 species